rnacentral:lncRNA from 1 species
UAUCCGUGGAUGAAAAACACUUGCUUAGAACCUCGUCUGUAGCUCGUGAACAGCACACCAGGUAAGUUCCCAGGAAAGAGAGGUGGGUCCGGCAUGACCACUAAAUUACUAAAUCUUUCCUAGCCAGAGCUUACCUAGACAUGUACCUCCACACUUUCCUAGCCAGAAUUCACCACAAGCCUCGAUACUCCAAUUGCACCAACUUCCCCUCCUACAAGCUUCUUGAACCAGAGAAUCUUUUCUGAUAUAGAAGAUCAGCCAAAGCUGCGAGCAUAGAGUAUACUAAGAUUCCCCCCUCAAGCUAGGCGACCUCGCACUGAUACCACUUGUUGGAAAAAAAGAAAUGACCCUUUCCCGUAAACCCCGAGAUCUCCGCGCCUUUUGUAAAGAGAAAAAAACAAAAAUAAAACAACACAAGAAUUUAACGUGGAAACCCAAAAUCGGAAAAAACCACAACCGUUGUCAAAAGACAACAACCGACCACUAUGUAAAAAAUUCUUACAAUCACAUAAACCUCAGUACAUUCUCCUAACAAAUAGUGUUAGAAAUGCUUCGGUUUGGUACAUUUGAAAACAUAACUUAAACCCCUUUAUAUAAGCAAGUCUCCAAGCUACUUUUCAACAGUUUUUCAAUAUGGGAUAAUGAGCCUUCUUAUUUUUAAGCAAAAUCCCAACAAUAAAGUGAACUACGAUCGAAAAAAUCCAAGAAAUUAGCAGAAGCCCUAUGCCUCUCAAAUGUAUAAAAGUAGGGAGUAGCUGCAAACAUUCAAUUACUUCUCUGAGUAUAUCAGGUUUGACAGUACAAUAGAAGUAAAUACAACUCAUUAAUGAUUCCACCAAAAAUAGUACAAUCUUCAACCAUUAUUUUUCCAAUGUGGGACAAUGACCAUUCUCAUUUUCAUCCCAACACUUCAUACACUUCAACAAAUGAGUCUAAAACUCAAACGGUGGUCAAUGAGCUUUCCACUUAAUACAUAACUUCAUUCUAACGCUCACAUAAACAUGAUGUUUCUUUUCCAAUUAUAUAUCCAAAACUCACUUAAUUACUUUCAAACCAUAUUCAAAAGACCAGUAAUGAACCAUUGUGCAGACAAAUUGAAACUGCUUAGACUAAUAUAGCAAGACCUGAUCCACGUAUUAAUAAAGUAUAUUUAACAUAACUAUUAAAGAACAAAAAAGUUGAAGCCCUUUUUUUUUAUUCCUUUCCUUUUAUAUGUUUAUUAAUGUAUGUCAUUUAUAAAUAAGAUACAUAAACAACUAAAUAUAAAGAAACAAACAAACAGAUUCAAUAGGAUGCAAAGUUGAACAAUAAGGAUAGAAAUCACAUCUUUAUUGUUUUUUGUAAAAGAAAAUUUCUUUAGAAGUUUGAGAUAAUUACCUAGUUGCAGAAUUUCAGCAGCUAAAUGACCCUUGAGUACUUAGAAACAACGAACAUAGCAUAAUCAAGAUCCCAACGACAACACCACCAAACGGACAGUAGAAAACAACAGUAAAAGAACUCAAGAAUACCCCCGAAAAAUCCAGCAAGAAAGUACUUGAACUAGCAACUAGUAACCCCAUAAAUUACUUAAGAGAUCGUUUUGUCUUUUCAAGGAUUUUGCAUACACAAAAUACUCACAAAAGCUCUGAAAUUUCAGCUUGCCAUAUGUGCACAACUGAUGAUUUCUUUUAAGAUAUAUGCCCCUUUUUUUGAGCGUAAAAGAUGAUGGCUCCUUGUGUUAGAGUGUGUCUGUCCUCCAAAGAGAAAGAAAGACCCUCUUUUUAUAGGAAAGGAAAGACCUUGCAUUAUUACCAAUCUAUCCAAAAGACAGAUUUUUCACCAAAAAUAUGUCCAAACAAUUCAAAGGACAGAUUUUUUGGUCAAAAAUCUGUCCAAAAGACAAACUUUUACCAACAAUGAAUAACUUUUGGAGUAGUGUACUCAAAAUAGUCCACAAACAGUUAAAAAGUAGACCAAACAUGUACCCUAUUUUAUCAUUUAUCUUUUACCUUUUACAAACUAAUACCAAACUAACUAACCAAUUCAAACUAAUGUAAAAGUAGAAAAUUCAGUAUUCAACUUAGUCAAUUAAACUAAUGCUGAUAUGAUCAAUCCAAGGAGAAAAUAAAAAUCUACGUCUAGGCUAAACACGUAUUAUAGUGAAGUAACUAACCACAACAAAGCUAACUAAGCGUCGAAAUAAAAAACAAUGCUAUACGAAGUAGAUGAUAGCAAACAGACUUAAACUUAAACUAAAAUUCUAAAAUUAAUCACAAAGAAAGCAAAAAUCAGAAAAAGGAAAAGAGGAAUUAGGAUGCUACCAUAGCAAAGGAUUUGAUGCAAAUUCGAGUAGCGAUUACAUGCCAAGGAUAUCGGACAACGAAAAAUCGACCAUGAUGCGAACUUUUUAUGUUGCCAGACACCAAAACCAAAGGUUUGGUGAACUAGUUUCGAUCUCCGUAUCGUGCCAGCGUAAAAAGCUCACUCAAGUUGUAUCUAGGCAAGAUGGGAAGAAGGGAAGAAGAAAGUAAAA